GUCGCGGUAGUCGAGUGGUUAGCAUUGUCUACUGCCAUUGGGUAGGCUCGGGUUCAAACCCCCAUGCGACC
rnacentral:tRNA from 1 species